rnacentral:rRNA from 1 species
UACGAAGGGUGCAAGCGUUAAUCGGAAUUACUGGGCGUAAAGGGAGCGUAGGCGGCUUUUUAAGUCGGAUGUGAAAUCCCCGGGCUCAACCUGGGAAUGGCAUUCGAUACUGGGGAGCUAGAGUUUGGGAGAGGGUGAUGGAAUUCCCGGUGUAGCGGUGAAAUGCGUAGAGAUCGGGAGGAACAUCAGUGGCGAAGGCGGUCACCUGGCCUA